rnacentral:lncRNA from 1 species
CCAGAUGGGAAAAUAAGGGGUUCAGGCGCCUGACGACGGACUCGUCCCCGCCGGCGAAGAUAGCAAGGGUGGCGUUCUUGGCGCCCCGGUCUCCGCCGGAGACGGGGGCGUCAACGGAGAAGCAGCCCCUGGAGGCAGCAGAGGAGGCGAUUUCGGCUGCGAGUGAAGGAUCAGAGGUGGUCAUGUCGACGAGGACUCCACCGGGGCGGAGUCCGGAGAGGGCGCCGGAGGAGGGGUCGAGGAGGACGGAGCGGACGUCGGAGGGGAAGCCGACAAUCGAGAAAACGACGUCGGAUUGGGAGGCGAGAGCGAGAGGAGAGGAGGCGUGGUGAGCCCCCAUGUCGAGGAGGGGUUGUGCCUUGGAGAUGGUGCGGUUGAAGAUAGUUACAGUAUAACCCGCUUUCAUCAGAUGAGCGCACAUCGACCGCCCCAUCACGCCGGUUCCAAUCCAGCCGACGCGGGU